rnacentral:lncRNA from 1 species
AGGACUCCGUGCUACCAAGUUGUUUUCAAUGGUGCGGCUUUCAAAUUGACGAUCGGCUCCGUUAGACUUGAUCUGCACUAUUAAAAGUAUUUGAAAACUAAAUUUCAUAAUUUUUCGACAUCAUUUGGCUAGUGAUCAAAAGGUUGCAAAAUUGAUAAUUUUAAUGGUAGAUGUGAUGCGUUUGUGAAUUUAACGGUGUAAAACAAUUCAAAUCUGAUAAAAUUUUUAUAGAAUUUUUUUUUCACUAUUUAGAGUAAGAUCAAUACCUCUGAUCUUAAAUUCAAGUGUUUUAUCACCAUUUUUUAUAAGAUUUUUAUUUUCAGCCGUUCAUUUUUAGACAACUCGUUUGAUAGGUAACUGUUACUGAAAAAUUAUAAAAUUUGGUUUCCAAAUAUUUUCAAUAGUGUAGAUCAAGUCUAACGGAACCGAUCGUCGAUUUGGAAACCGCAUAAUUGAAAAUAACUUGGUAGCUACCGAUAGUAUACCAGCCUAGCUCUAUAUAUAUAUAUAUAUAUAUAGAGUGAGGCUACUAUGCUAUUGGAAGCACGGAGCCUUCCGUGCUUCCAGCUCGUUUUCGAUGUUGCGACUUUCGAAUCGUCGAUCGGCUCCGUUAAACUUGAUCUACAGUAUUUGGAGUACCUAGAAAAUAAAUUUUAUUAUUUUUCGAUAUCAUUUGCCUAGUGAUCGAAUGGGCUCAAAAUCAACAAAUUUCAAUGGCCGUAAUGAGCCGUUUGCAAGUUUAACGGUGUAGAAAUAUCCAAAUCACGUGAAAUUUUGAUAGAAAAUUCUUUAUACUAUAUAAAACAAGAUCAAUAUCUUUGAUUUAAAAUUUUAAUAUCAUAUUAUUACAUUUUGUAAGAUUUUUAUUUUCAGCCGUUGAUUUUGUGCCCCUUCGUUCACUAGGCAAAUGAUAUCGAAAAAUAAUAAAAUUUAUUUUCUAGGUACUCCAAAUACUCUAGAUCAAGUUUUACGGAGCCGAUUGACAAUUCGAAAGUCGCAACAUCGAAAACGAGCUGGAAGCACGGAAGGCUCCGUGCUUCCGAUAGCAUAGUAGCCUCACUCUAUAUAUAUAUAUACACACACACACACACACACACUCUUUCACACUUAAUCUUUAAUUAUAACGUAUUGGCAAGUUAAUAUCUUAUAACUCCUUGCAAUUAA